rnacentral:lncRNA from 1 species
CCCAGUACUCUGGCAAUUAUUACAAAGUUUCACUGUUACUGAAGGCAUGUCAUAGAGUAGAAAAAAAUCUUCUAAUUUCCAAAUUAAGUCAAAAUCUCCACAAGUAAGUAUUCCUUAAGCAAAAAGUCUAACAAAAUGUGACUGAUGCAGGGCUAUUUUUCCUGUCUUCCACUUUUAUCUCAUUUUGUACAAGAAGAUGAGCCAUCACCAUCCCACAAUCUAAUACAGCCUUCCCUGUCCCUGAAAUGCCAAUGAAUUCAGAUAAGCUUUUGUGAAGAAAACAACUUAGAAUUCUUGGUUGAGUUAUGUUGGACUUGGUUGGCACCCUUCCUUAGGGCAAUGAUAAUCAGGCCAGAACACAAGGACAUCAAGGGGCCUGGCUGAGGAAGCACAAUCAUUAACAAAGUAAACUUAGUUAAGUAGAAGGGCCUUUGGCUAAUUCUUUUCAAGUCAGAGCCUGAGCCUGAAAUGAGGCAUUGGAUAAAGUUGGCAUUCUCUGCCCAUUCGAGAUCUCUCUUCAUUUAGUGCUGGCCAAUGACAUCUGUGCUGGCUGCCAGUUAUCACUGACAAUACAAGCAGCCUUCAAGGGUGGCUGUCCCUUAACAAGAGACUUCAGAAGGAAAGCCAUUAGUGGCACCUGCUCUAGGAGGAGCCCACAGAGGACUCUCCUGGGCCAAUUACCUCCUCGUAGCCAAGAAAAGACAGGCACUUCCAGGCCAAAUCAGACUGCAGAUCAGAAUCCGUGGGACUCAGGGUGGGGGCAGACAUGCUGAUGAGAACAAAUGUUAUCCAAGAGCUGAGAAAGUUCAAAUCCACUUCACAGAAGUCAUCCAGAGCUAAUUCUGUAUAAGACUUAAAGCACAUUACCUGAGGUCAUGAGUUCAUUCUAUUUCUUCCUGCAUCCUCAGUAUGAUUAAAUACUUUGUGGUUGAAGAAUAAGUGAAAAGUUUACAGAAAAGUGUUUUGUCAAAAGUAAUGACAAACAAAAUGACUGAAAUGACGUCAGUUGAAUAUUAUCUAAAAUAUAAGUUUUCAAAUGUGCUUUUUAUCCCAAACAUUUGGUCAUCCUACAAAUUUUAGCAAAAAAGAAAUCAAUAUUUCUGACCUUGACCCAAUCCUGACCCUACUCAAAGGGCAGCCUAAGAAGAAAAUGCAAAGUUAAUGCUGACCUUGCUUUCUUUAUUGGGAAAAAAUGAGAACCCAAUUAUGUUGCCUAGAGAGUCACAUUUAUUCCACUUAACAUUAAGUGCUUCAAACAAAAGCCUAGUAACUGAAGUAAAAGGUGAAAAACGCAAACCAAACCAAGCCUUUAAAAGAGUACAUCUGGUGUGCAAUUCAUUAUAGGGCUGUAGGUGAUUAGGGUUUCCUCAAACAUCUUUCACAGAGCCAGCUGAUUAUAACAGAGAAGAAAUGAGUUCCACUGCACCAUCCUAUUUUAUUUUGGCUGUACCAUUAUUAGUAAAUAACACCGAAAGUAUAUCAGUUGAAAAAAAGAUGGACCACAUUUCUUUCCAGGGAGCACAUCAAAAAAACCACUACCAUGCCAUGUGUAGGAAAAUUCUGGUACUUCCACAGUACACAAAUGCAGAGCUACUGUCCUUAAUGAGAUGACAGUUUAUUACUUCCAUAUAAAGACUGGAUUUUUGAGCUUUCUUAUGCCUCUGAUUUAUAGCAAACACUUAGCUGAUCCAUACUCCAAACAAUCCAAAGUACUAUACAUCUGCUGCUUUCAUUUCUUGGAUAAAAUGGAUCUCAAUACCAGCUAAAAAAACCAUAUUAGGCUAAAAAUCUCAUCUACAGGCAAUACGCUAUUGAUCAAAACUAAUAAUUCUUUUUGAAAGAGAUUACUCACCUUAAACCUCAACUCUAGUAGGUAAAAUACAUCAUAGUGAUCAGAAAAUAAAGAUGAUUGUGGUGAUCAGUGGCCUUAUCAAAGGCUAUUAUUUGGAUCACUGCUCAAAACACCUUCAGCCUUGCCAUGAUGUUGCUUUUCACAGAACAGAGACAAGCACGAAGACUAACAGAUGCUUACUGGUUUGGAUUGGUACUUCAUUCAAAAAUACCAUGCCUAAUGUCUUUCAAUCUUAAUAAAACAUUAAAUAAACUAUCAACCAUAGUACAUGAUGCUAAAGCCAACAGAGCAUAUCCGUUUUUAUUGCUUUAUCUGAAAUCUUGGUGAGAUUCCUACCCUAAACCAGGAAGGCACUGACUGCUAAGCAAGAGAAUAGUUUCAAUAAUAUGUUCCUUAAAAAGUCCAAGUCUGUAUUUAUAUAUUUGCCUAGAAUAGAACCAAUUAGAAACAACCAUAUUUGAAAUCCACCAUAAAAAUCCUCUUUGGUUCCUCCUUAAAUUUCAGUGAGUCUUCUUUACAGCCUGACUAAACAUUACGGCCUUCCCUUUCUUCAGGAACUCAGAUGCUUUUGCAUCUGCAUUUGCAAAACCAUUUUUAGAGCCUUCUUCCUUUCCCCAUAUUAACUCAAUACAGAACAUCUUGGUUUACUUCCAGUCAUAGCCAAGCUGCUCUCACUGUCAUCAGAAACAUCACUACAGGGACAUCCUCACUCCAGGUCACUUAAAGAGCCACAAUAACCUCUGCUUAUGCCCUCUGACUCCAGAGUUAAGAAGGCAUAAUAAUGCAUCCUUUAAAAGGACUAUAUUGGUUAGUAUAUUAGUGACUCAUAAUAAAAAAUAAUGUACUAUGAUUCCAGAACAAAGUAAAACUUACAAUGGUAGAAGCCAUAAUAGGCACAAAUUUAUAUUUUAAAAAGCCUGAUUUUAGGAUUUACACAGAAAAAUGUUAAUCCCAAUGAAAAUACUUUCAGGAAAAUAAAUAGGAAAAUAGAAAAAAUUACAGAUGGUUUAACUAUAUGAUAGAGAAAAUUGAUCAAGGAAUUAAGUUAGCUUAGUGGAACCAUCUGUGCUGAGAAAUACUUUCUCAACAAAAAACUCAUUAAUAUUCAUUUAAUUCUAAUUAAAAUAUUUAUAUUUACAUCCAACUAGUCAAAAGCUUCCACAGGUAGUAACAAUAAGAAUAAUACAAUUAUUAGUAACAGGUAUUAUACUAGUAUUAGUAGAUACUAGAAAUAGUAUAUUAGUAUUAUAGGUAUUUAGCAUUCACUACAUGCCAGUCACUUUUCUUAAGACUUUAUCCCUGCCUCACACCUGUAUCAGACAUAUGCCCAAGAUCCCCUGUUAAAGUUAUCUAAUCUUUACCCCCCUUUAAAGAAGUAAAAACCCAUCUGUUCUCUUUAUCAGGAAAUCUUGCAGACUUCAGUUGCCUUAUGUGUUUUAUUUAUGUUCUGUAGUACUUUGGGUUCUCUUUUUAACUACUAUAUAGUAUUUGCUUACAUGAUACAAGAAAAAUACUGUAUUUUGUAGGAAGAAUCACACCUCAUAUUCAAAAUUUAGUUUAAAAGCAAUUUUCAAACUUAUAAAAAUGAAAUUAACACUGUAUAUUGACUCAAGUUUCCUUUCUGCUGAAUGAUUACACUAUAAAGUGGUACUAAGAAUAUCGUGUUCAUAGACGAUGACGUAGAAUUAAAGUAACCAAAGUACUUCUUCUGGAGUAAUUCUAUAAAUACAUGGCAGAGACAAUUCUACCAGUAUUUUGUAGGCAAAUAAAUUAGCAGAGGCAAAUACGGAGACACAGUCCCAUAUAUCUGGCAUUGGAUCAAGAAUCGAGGGAGUUCCCGUCGUGGCGCAGUGGUUAACGAAUCCGACUAGGAACCAUGAGGUUGCGGGUUCGGUCCCUGCCCUUGCUCAGUGGGUUAACGAUCCGGCGUUGCCGUGAGCUGUGGUGUAGGUUGCAGACGCGUCACUCUGUGGCUGUUUCCUCAUUUAAUAGAGGGUGUUAGAGGCAGAUAAAUACCUCCAUUCUGCCAAGCUCUAAAUUUUGACUUAGGGAAAAAACAUAAGGCACUGGAGGUUUCCUCACAAGUUUUUCUACUGACUCCACCCCUCUCUGUUUCAUCAACUACCACAGGACAAUCUUCACUGACUGUAGAUCAGAACAUGUGUGUUCUAGCUCUCAAUUCAUCACUAACUAUUAGUUCCAACUCUCUGGAGCUUCCCUCAAAUAGAGGAAUUAGACUAGUCCAGGAUCUCUUUUUGUAGGGACAAGUCACUUUAUUGACCCAAAGACUUCAGCUUAAUAGUCAGGAGCAAGACAGAGGCACAGCAUUUCCAGACGUAGGAAAGGUUUGUUCCUGAUACAAGUUACCAGAGCCCAGCCUUACAGCCAAAUAGGUAUUAUGAGCAAGAGUGAAACCUAUAGUAGUAACCUCAGACUACCAGAAAGACCAAAGCCCAGAGGGAGAGAGGAUAUGCCAAUAAAUAUUAGACUAUCUCCCCACUCCUUUUGCUGGAUAUACCUAUUAUCUUAAAAGGAUGUUGUGGCAGCAGAAUACUUGUGCCUAACAAAAAAAACUACUAUGAGUCAGGUACUUGCUGAUUUCAAUUCUGAUCAAUCAGAUCAAAAUAUAACAUCUACCAAAGUAUUAGUCAAUCCAGAUCUAAAACACCAGGGUCUUAAGAAAUCAUUUCACCAUUCUAUAUGUACUAUG